GUUACUGAAUAUAUAUAUAUAUAGGGUUUGCUAACUUGCAUACGCCUGUUUUUCAGUUGGUACAUUUUAGCAAUGUGUACUGGGUUUCAGUAGACAAAAAUACCCUUAUAUCAUGAAUUAUAAGUUUUAAGGUUAAGGGUAUUUUAAUAAUUUUCAUUCUCAAAAUUAAAAAAAUAAAAAAAAGAAACCCCUAAACCCUUACCCACCUCUCAUAUUCCUCUCAACCCUUUCUCUCUUUCAUGUCUUUCACUCCAACUUUUUCUAUGUCAUCCUUACUCUAGCCCCAAUUGAAAGAAAAUCAGAAACACUUGCCUAAUUUUAAUAAUUUUCAUUCUCAAAACUAAAAAAAAGAAACCCCAAACCCUUAUUCACCUCCUUCAUUCUCUGAAUCCUUUCUCCUUCAUCUCUCUCACUCAAACAUUUUCUCUGUCAUCUCUGCACUAGCCCCACCUAAAAAAAGACUCAUUAUUAAAUAAAAUGGUUAGAGAAAAAAAAACUUACAUAAAUAAAAAAAUUAAAGCACCUAAUUUUUUUCUUUCUAUAAUUUUAAAUAAAAUUUUAAGAUUUAGAAUUUUUAUUGUUUGAUUUUAUGGUUGAGAAUUUUAUUGUAUUUUGAUUUGUUUUUUCUUUAGUAAAGGAAAACAAGUUAAUGAAUUUCUACCCAAAGAAAUUAAAUGGCCACAGAGCAAUGUUACGUAGUAGUCUCAGAAUGUAAAGAAGGAUGCUAAUAAGUUUUGGUGCAAGUUGUGCCCGUCGGUUGUAAUAUAUAGAGUGAAGAUAAUGAAAUUAAAGAGAUUUUGAAUGAACUUUUUUCGGAAGGUGAAUAUGUCAAUGACUCAACUCUUUACAAGAGUAAAUCGUUUAAUAAUGAGUGUUUUUUAGUUGGAGCUAGUGCAGAGAUGACAGAGAAAAUGUUUGAGUGGGAGAGAUGAAGGAGAAAGGGUUGAGAGGAAUGAAGGAGGUGAGUAAGGGUUUGGUCUUUUUUUUUAGUUUUGAGAAUGAAAUUUAUUAAAUUAAGACAAGUGUUUCUAAUUUUUUUCAAUUGGGGCUAGGGAUGACAGAAAAGGUUGAAGUGAAAGAGAUGAAAGAGAAAAUGUUGAGAGGAAUGAGAGAGGUGGAUAAGGUUUGGGGUUUCUUUUUUUAUUUUUUUUAUUUUGAGAAUGAAAAUUAUUAAAAUACCCUUAACCUUAAAACUUAAAUUUCAUUAUAUAUAAGGGUAUUUUUGUCUACUGAAACUCGGUACACAUUUCUAAAAUGUACCAACUGAAAAACAUGCAUACGCAAGUUAGCAAACCCCAUAUAUAUGUAUAUAUAUAUAUAUAUGAUUUUAGUUAAAUUAAUUUUGUAUAGUUUAAAGUUUCAGAUUAAAU
rnacentral:lncRNA from 1 species